rnacentral:rRNA from 1 species
AAGUCAGAUGUGAAAUCCCCGGGCUUAACCUGGGAACUGCCUCUGAAACUGUUAGGCUAGAGUAGGUGAGAGGAAAGUAGAAUUUCAGGUGUAGCGGUGAAAUGCGUAGAGAUCUGAAGGAAUACCGAUGGCGAAGGCAGCUUCCUGGCAUCAUACUGACACUGAGGUUCGAAAGCGUGGGUAGCAAACAGGAUUAGAUACCCUGGUAGUCCACGCCGUAAACGAUGUCUACUAGUCGUUGGGUCCCUUGAGGACUUAGUGACGCAGCUAACGCAAUAAGUAGACCGCCUGGGGAGUACGGCCGCAAGGUUAAAACUCAAAUGAAUUGACGG